rnacentral:rRNA from 1 species
UACGUAGGGUGCAAGCGUUGUCCGGAAUUAUUGGGCGUAAAGAGCUCGUAGGCGGUUUGUCGCGUCUUCUGUGAAAACCCGAGGCUCAACCUCGGGCCUGCAGUGGGUACGGGCAGACUAGAGUGCGGUAGGGGAGAUUGGAAUUCCUGGUGUAGCGGUGGAAUGCGCAGAUAUCAGGAGGAACACCGGUGGCGAAGGCGGUUCUCUGGGCAUUACCUGACGCUGAGGAGCGAAAGUGUGGGGAGCGAACAGG